AAGCAAUGAACAAUUUCAAGAAAGUUGCAUUACGGGUGAUAGCAGGGUGCUUAUCAGAGGAAGAGAUCAUGGGGUUAAAGGAGAUGUUUAAAGGUAUGGACACUGAUAGCAGUGGAACAAUAACACUCGAGGAGCUAAGACAGGGACUAGCUAAACAAGGUACAAGGUUGUCAGAAUACGAAGUCCAGCAG